GUUGUUUUUCCCUUCUUCCUCUUUAAGUUUUUUUUCAAGCAAAACAAUACACUGUUUCAUCCAGCAACAGUAGGGAUUUUAAAAGGUGCGGCCCACCUUGCUAAGGUCUUUGGCAGUCACACUGUCGUCAUCCCGGCAAGGCAAGCGAUGCACAAACGCCAACAUCUGAUACUUG